UACGAAGGGGGCUAGCGUUGUUCGGAAUUACUGGGCGUAAAGCGCGCGCAGGCGGUCUUCCAAGUCAGUGGUGAAAGCCCGGAGCUCAACUCCGGAACUGCCAUUGAAACUGUGAGACUGGAGUACGAGAGAGGUGAGUGGAAUUCCCCAGUGUAGAGGUGAAAUUCGUAGAUAUUGGGAAGAACACCGGUGGCGAAGGCGGCGACCUGGUCCGUGACUGACGCUGAGGCGCGAAAGCGUGGGGAGCAAACAGG
rnacentral:rRNA from 1 species